rnacentral:tRNA from 1 species
GGGGUUGUGGCUCAGCAGCAGAGCACUUGCCUUGCAUGUAUGAGGCCCUGGGUUCCAUCCUCAGCACCCCA